GACAUCUUUCCAAUGCCUGUUAAGAAAACAAGGAAGAAAACCAGCUGCUUAGGAAUACCACUUUGCUUUUGCUGGUGUAAAUAUCACAUUUAGGAUCAUGCAAAUGCUCGAUCUAGAUGGAUCAAACCAAGGACUUCUAUCAGAUCAGUGUUCCUUCAGAUGUUGUCAGGUACAUAUCUAAACUUAAUCCAGGAACAUAUCAAAUACGAAGUUGUGCAUGAAUGCAAGAAACACAAUUUUCUGAUAACAGAAAAUAAUUCCAUGUUGGAAUGCCCAAGCUACGUGAUGUUCUUUAUAUCAUUACAAAUUUAUCAGUACAGGUAGGUGAUUUAAUGUUGUGGCAUUGAUCAUGUAGGUACUAUUAUGGAUUUUAGUACUGGGAAAUAGGAUCUGAAGAAAUUAGUUUUAUAAUUGCUUCUAUAUUUCACUUCCCCUCACGAUCACAAGUUCAUUCUUCAGCACAAGAAUGAACCAAUAUUUUCCUAUUGUUGAGAAGUUUGAUUCAAAUCUGAAGAUUUCUUGCUUGAUUUUCUAUGGUUAACAAUUAUUAUUUUGCCAACAUAAAUAUCUCAUUGGUUAAAUUAGUGUUCCUACCUAUUUUCUUUAAGAUGUGGGAUGCUAUAUUACAAAACAGCAAUCAUUGUCCUGGAAACCCUAUUUUGGUUUCUCAACUUUCAAAAUAUUCAUGUCAUUAGAAUUUUUAGAUUUAUUCUAUAUUGGUUUUGAGCUUUUAAAAUGUUUAAUUUAGCCCUUGAGAUUUCAAAAAAAGAAUAAUUUUGAUCCUUACCUUCAUUUUGUUUUUAACAAAUGAGUGAUAUAGGUUUGAGUGAUAAAGGUUUAGUAUAGUAUGUAUGAGUCAAGAACAAGUAUUUGACAAGUUGAUAUUAGAUGGAAAGAUAAUACGGUGAUGACCAAAAUAAACAUUUUGAAAGUUUGACCAAAA